UACGUAGGGUGCAAGCGUUAAUCGGAAUUACUGGGCGUAAAGCGUGCGCAGGCGGUUUUGUAAGUCUGACGUGAAAUCCCCGGGCUCAACCUGGGAAUUGCGUUGGAGACUGCAAGGCUAGAAUCUGGCAGAGGGGGGUAGAAUUCCACGUGUAGCAGUGAAAUGCGUAGAGAUGUGGAGGAACACCGAUGGCGAAGGCAGCCCCCCUGGGUCAAGAUUGACGCUCAUGCACGAAAGCGUGGGGAGCAAACAGG
rnacentral:rRNA from 1 species